rnacentral:rRNA from 1 species
GACAGAGGGUGCAAACGUUGUUCGGAAUUACUGGGCGUAAAGCGUGUGUAGGCGGCUGGGCAAGUCGGAUGUGAAAGCCCCGGGCUCAACCCGGGAAGUGCACUCGAUACUGCCUAGCUCGAGUCUCGGAGAGGUUGGUGGAAUUCUCGGUGUAGAGGUGAAAUUCGUAGAUAUCGAGAGGAACACCGGUGGCGAAGGCGGCCAACUGGACGAAGACUGACGCUGAGACACGAAAGCGUGGGGAGCAAACAGG